AAUCAACGCUGGCGGCGUGCCUAACACAUGCAAGUCGAGCGGGAAAGGGGGCUUCGGCCCCUGAGUAUAGCGGCGGACGGGUGAGUAACACGUGGGUAAUUUGCCCUUGGGUGUGGAAUAACUCAGGGAAACUUGAGCCAAUACCGCAUGACAUCCCCUUCACACACGAGUCGGGGAUCAAAGCCGGGGACCCUUCGGGGCCUGGCGCCUGAGGAGAAGCCCGCGCCCGAUUAGCUAGUU
rnacentral:rRNA from 1 species